rnacentral:rRNA from 1 species
CAUUAUCGAGUAUUGACUGGGUUGUAGCUGGCCUUCCGAGGCAUGUGCACGCCCUGAUCAUCCACUCUACACCUGUGCACUUACUGUGGGUUUCAGAUCGCGAAACGGGUCCCUUUAUGGGGGCUCGGGAAGCGUCUGUGCCUGCGUUUACCACAAACACUAUGCAGUAUUAGAAUGUGUAUUGCGAUGUAACGCAUCUAUAUACAACUUUCAGCAACGGAUCUCUUGGCUCUCGCAUCGAUGAAGAACGCAGCGAAAUGCGAUAAGUAAUGUGAAUUGCAGAAUUCAGUGAAUCAUCGAAUCUUUGAACGCACCUUGCGCUCCUUGGUAUUCCGAGGAGCAUGCCUGUUUGAGUGUCAUGAAAUCUUCAACUUGCUAGCUUUUCCGGCUUGUAAGCUUGGACUUGGAGGCUUGUCGGCGGCCUUUGGGCGUGGUCGGCUCCUCUCAAAUGCAUUAGCCUGGUUCCUUGCGGAUCGGCUGUCGGUGUGAUAAUUGUCUACGCCGCGACCGUGAAGCGUUUGGCGGGCUUAUAACCGUCUCGUUAAGAGACAACCUAUGACAUCUG